GUGGCCAAUUGGUUAAUUUGUUUUGCUUAACUGUACUUUGUUAGAAGGAUGCAUUCUCCUGGGGUAAGGGAAUUCUUGAGAAGUGAUAGUGAUAUGAAAAAGCAUAUCAGUAGAAACCUUUUUUUGGAAAGAAGAUGAAAAGGCUAGAGAAGGGCUUCUCUGCCCUCAAGGUUAUUGGGGAUCUUAUUUUUAUUUCAUCAUGUCCUACUUUUUGUGACCGUAACUAUCCAGAGGGUUUUCUUGGGAAGUAUUUUGGAGUAUUUCGUCAUUUCCUUCUCCAGGGGAUCCAGAGGAUUAGUGAUCCCCAAGUCCUAAAAUUUGGAGCUGGAAGGGACCCCGGAGCAAGAAGCAUGUGGAGGCAAAAAGACAAAAGAAAAGGAAAUUGAAGAGACAGAAGGAAAAUCUUUGAACCAGAUCAGAAUCUGGAGAUUAAUAUCUCUAGAGUAAAUAAAGAAGAGAGAGGUCGAAAGCUUCA
rnacentral:lncRNA from 1 species